GCUCUUUUAGCAUACUCAAACAAGAGGUCUUGGUUUGAAAGGUAGGGUGAGGAGUAUUGUAUUGGGGAUCAUUGUCCUGGAAAGGCGAAUAGAGCAAGAAAGAAGAUGGAUGAUAAUGGAGUUUGGCGACUUGGAUGGGAUAAAAUUCCACUGGCUGGACACUGUUGGCUCCUGUACCACUGCAGCUGAGAGAUCCUGGACCCCUGACAAGAGCUGGCAGGAAGUAGGAGUUCUUACCACAUCAGUCUCCCAGAUCUCUGCUUGCAGGGUCCAAAGGAAGCAAGAGUGGACACAAUUGGAAACAUUGGUUAUAUUACCAGAGCUUUGACUGGAAUGUCAUAUUUGAGAGAAACAUACAUAGACUCAGAGAUGGCCAGACAGCUUUUGAGGAAGAAGAUUGGACUUUAUGAAAUAAAGCCUCUUGGAAAUAUUGGCCUGCUACCUUGUUUACAGGGUUUCCAGCAACCUCAGCCCUGCAAACUGAAGCCGAAUAACUUAAUAUAAACUUAAGAGAGAUCACCAUGAUAGCAUGCCUGCUGCUGUGUAAGCCACUUAAAAGAAUACCUGAAUACUCAAGGACAUCACCAGAGACAUUUCAAGCUGCAAAAGAUGCUUCAACUCUGACGUCUAAAAGUCUUGACUGGCUGUCCCCUGGGAUCAGAAACCGGUUUAUAAUUCACUGCAACCAUUAACAUUGUUUUUCUUUUUGUUUCGUGGAAAUGCUUCUCACUAAAACCCUGAUUGCUUGCUUCCACAAUACAGGCCUGACUUUGGGAGCCCACCUGCAUCACUGGCUUCUAAAACGGAUUUAAUGGGAUUGUUC
rnacentral:lncRNA from 1 species